GACGAACGCUGGCGGCGUGCUUAACACAUGCAAGUCGAACGGAAAGGCCCUGCUUUUGUGGGGUGCUCGAGUGGCGAACGGGUGAGUAACACGUGAGUAACCUGCCCUUGACUUUGGGAUAACUUCAGGAAACUGGGGCUAAUACCGGAUAGGAGCUCCUGCUGCAUGGUGGGGGGUGGAAAGUUUCGGCGGUUGUGGAUGGACUCGCGGCUUAUCAGCUUGUUGGUGGGGUAGUGGCUUACCAAGGCUUUGACGGGUAGCCGGCCCGUGAGGGUGACCGGCCGCAAGGGGACUGAGGUACGGCGCAGACGCCAACGGGAGGCAGUGGGGGGGAGUAUGGCACAGUGGGCCGAAGCCGGAUGCAGCAGCGCCGCGUGCGGGAUGACGGCCUUCGGGUUGUAAACCGCUUUCGCCUGUGACGAAGCGGGAGUGACGGUAAUGGGUAAAGAAGCACCGGCUAACUGCGUG
rnacentral:rRNA from 1 species